UCAUGGCCUUAUGCCCUGGGCUACACACGUGCUACAAUGGAAGGACAAAGGGCUGCCACUUAGUGAUAAGGAGCCAAUCCCAAAAACCUUCUCUCAGUUCAGAUUGGAGUCUGCAACUCGACUCCAUGAAGCUGGAAUCGCUAGUAAUCGUAUAUCAGCAAUGAUACGGUGAAUACGUUCCCGGACCUUGCACACACCGCCCGUCAAGCCAUGGAAGCUGGGUGUACCUAAAGUCGGUAACCGUAAGGAGCCGCCUAGGGUAAAACUAGUGACUGGGGCACA
rnacentral:rRNA from 1 species